rnacentral:rRNA from 1 species
AUGAAACACUCCUACGGGAGGCAGCAGUAGGGAAUCUUCCACAAUGGACGCAAGUCUGAUGGAGCAACGCCGCGUGAGUGAAGGAGGUUUUCGGAUCGUAAAGCUCUGUUGUUGGUGAAGAAGGAUAGAGGUAGUAACUGGCCUUUAUUUAACGGUAAUCAACCAGAAAGUCACGGCUAACUACGUGCCAGCAGCCGCGGUAAUACAUAGGUGGCAAGCGUUGUCCGGAUUUAUUGGGCGUAAAGCGAGCGCAGGCGGAAAAAUAAGUCUAAUGUGAAAGCCCUCGGCUUAACCGAGGAACUGCAUCGGAAACUGUUUUUCUUGAGUGCAGAAGAGGAGAGUGGAACUCCAUGUGUAGCGGUGGAAUGCGUAGAUAUAUGGAAGAACACCAGUGGCGAAGGCGGCUCUCUGGUCUGCAACUGACGCUGAGGCUCGAAAGCAUGGGUAGCGAACAGGAUUAGAAACCCUGGUAGUCCGAAGUUC